GACGAACGCUGGCGGCGUGCCUAAUACAUGCAAGUCGAGCGAAGUUUUUCUGGUGCUUGCACCGGAAAAACUUAGCGGCGAACGGGUGAGUAACACGUAAAGAACCUGCCUCAUAGACUGGGACAACUAUUGGAAACGAUAGCUAAUACCGGAUAACAGCAUUAACUGCAUGGUUGAUGUUUAAAAGUUGGUUUUGCUAACACUAUGAGAUGGCUUUGCGGUGCAUUAGCUAGUUGGUGGGGUAAAGGCCUACCAUGGCGACGAUGCAUAGCCGACCUGAGAGGGUGAUCGGCCACACUGGGACUGAGACACGGCCCAGACUCCUACGGGAGGCAGCAGUAGGGAAUCUUCCGCAAUGGGCGAAAGCCUGACGGAGCAACGCCGCGUGAGUGAAGAAGGAUUUCGGUUCGUAAAGCUCUGUUGUUAGGGAAGAAUGAUUGUGUAGUAACUAUACACAGUAGAGACGGUACCUAACCAGAAAGCCACGGCUAACUACGUG
rnacentral:rRNA from 1 species